CAAAAUGUAGCUUAACAUAAAGCCCCCCGCUUACACCGAGGAAAUAUCUGUUCAACCCAGAUCAUUUUGAGCCCAACAUCUAGCCCUCACUAUUCGCAUGACCCCCUCAACCUCUCACCUCUUAACAAAACAUUUCCCCACUUUAGUACAGGCGAUCGAAAAAUUUAUAGGCGCUUCAGAUAAAGUACCGCAAGGGAACGAUGAAAUAAAAAUGAAAUAACCAACAAGCCCCAAAUAGCAGAGAUACCCCCUCGUACCUUUUGCAUCAUGGUCUAGCUAGUCUAAUCAAGCAAAAUGAAAACUUUAGUUUGACUCCCCGAAACUAAGUGAGCUACUUUUAAACAGCCCAAAGGGGCGAACCCGUCUCUGUUGCAAAAGAGUGGGAAGAUUUUCAAGUAGAGGUGACAAGCCUACCGAACUUAGAGAUAGCUGGUUGUUCAGGAAAAGAGUCUCAGCUCUACCUUAAGUCUCUUUAUUAACUAAAACAAACCCCAAGACUUAAGAGCUAUUCAAAUAAGGAACAGCUUAUUUGAAAUAGGAUUCAACCUCUUACACAGGGUAAACAAGAACAGACUAAGUAAAGUGGGCCUAAGAGCAGCCAUCUUAUAAAAAGCGUUAAAGCUUAACUUUUACUUUAUAUUAAUUCCAACUAUUCCCACCAACCCCUCACCUCUACUGAACUAUUUUAUAACCCUAUAAAAACUAUUAUGCUAGAACUAGUAACAUGAAAUCACCUUUCUCCUGAAUGUAAACUUAAACCAUUACGGAUUGUCCACUGGUAUUUAACGUACUUACCCUAAUUAUAGCAACUUUCAACCAGAAAACCCUAUUAUUACCAACGUCAACCUUACACUAGAACAUUACAGGAAAGAUUAAAAGAAAGAGAAGGAACUCGGCAAACCUCAGCCCCGCCUGUUUACCAAAAACAUCGCCUCUUGCUUAACAUAAGAGGUCCAGCCUGCCCAGUGACAUAGUUCAACGGCCGCGGUACCCUAACCGUGCGAAGGUAGCAUAAUCACUUGUUCUCUAAAUAGGGACUAGUAUCAACGGCACCACGAGGGCUACACUGUCUCCUCUCUCCAAUCAGUGAAACUGAUCUCCCCGUGAAGAAGCGGGGAUUUUUAUAUAAGACGAGAAGACCCCAUGGAGCUUCAAACUCAAUAUACACCUUUUCUUGCCUGUAACAACUAACCGUAGAGAUCUGUAUAUUAGUUUUAGGUUGGGGGGACCGCGGAGUAUAACUCAACCUCCACGACAAACGGGCCAACGCCCUUAUCUACGAAACACAUUUCUAAGAAUCAAUAAUCUGAUGUUUUAUGACCCGAUAAAUCGAUCAACGAACCAAGUUACCCUGGGGAUAACAGCGCAAUCUACUUCAAGAGCUCCUAUCGACAAGUGGGUUUACGACCUCGAUGUUGGAUCAGGGUAUCCUAGUGGUGCAGCCGCUACUAACGGUUCGUUUGUUCAACGAUUAAAACCCUACGUGAUCUGAGUUCAGACCGGAGCAAUCCAGGUCGGUUUCUAUCUAUACAGUGCUUCCCCUAGUACGAAAGGACCGGAGCAGCAUGGCCAAUGCAUGAACAAGCCAUAUUUCUGCACUAGUGAAACCAUCUCAAUUAGCUGAAACCUACUACUUCACCCUAGAACAGGGUA
rnacentral:rRNA from 1 species